rnacentral:snoRNA from 1 species
AAGGUCUCAGCGUAAUUCUAGAGCUAAAGUGUGAUUACACAUCAGCAGAAUUCAGAUAAUACAUGCCAACACAUCAUCGACC